GAUGAACGCUGGCGGCGUGCCUAAUACAUGCAAGUCGAGCGAACAGAUAAGGAGCUUGCUCCUUUGACGUUAGCGGCGGACGGGUGAGUAACACGUGGGUAACCUACCUAUAAGACUGGGAUAACUUCGGGAAACCGGAGCUAAUACCGGAUAACAUUUGGAACCGCAUGGUUCUAAAGUGAAAGAUGGUUUUGCUAUCACUUAUAGUUGGACCCGCGCCGUAUUAGCUAGUUGGUAAGGUAACGGCUUACCAAGGCGACGAUACGUAGCCGACCUGAGAGGGUGAUCGGCCACACUGGAACUGAGACACGGUCCAGACUCCUACGGGAGGCAGCAGUAGGGAAUCUUCCGCAAUAGGCGAAAGCCUGACGGAGCAACGCCGCGUGAGUGAUGAAGGGUUUCGGCUCGUAAAACUCUGUUAUUAGGGAAGAACAAAUGUGUAAGUAACUGUGCACGUCUUGACGGUACCUAAUCAGAAAGCCACGGCUAACUACGUG
rnacentral:rRNA from 1 species